rnacentral:lncRNA from 1 species
AAAAACAAUUUAAAUACAAAAACACAAGCAGGUUCCCCUCCUCUCUUUUGCCUUUUGGUCUGGCUCUCCCUCCCUUUGGGCUGGUGCCCGACUGAAUGGAAAACCCGUCAUCUUGCAGGCACUAACCUGUGAGCACCGGGUACCUGGAGACCAGGCCCCCUCUGCUGGGGGUCCCCCAGGAGCUGUGCCCCAUCAUUCUGCAGCCCACUGACUCCCAGCCUGGUAAGUUACUGAACACUGUGAG